rnacentral:rRNA from 1 species
UGACACUGACGCUCAUGCACGAAAGCGUGGGGAGCAAACAGGUAUUAGAUACCCUGGUAGUCCACGCCCUAAACGAUGUCAACUAGCUGUUGGGGCCUUCGGGCCUUAGUAGCGCAGCUAACGCGUGAAGUUGACCGCCUGGGGAGUACGGUCGCAAGAUUAAAACUCAAAGGAAUUGACGGGGACCCGCACAAGCGGUGGAUGAUGUGGAUUAAUUCGAUGCAACGCGAAAAACCUUACCUACCCUUGACAUGUCUGGAAUCCCGAAGAGAUUUGGGAGUGCUCGCAAGAGAACUGGAACACAGGUGCUGCAUGGCUGUCGUCAGCUCGUGUCGUGAGAUGUUGGGUUAAGUCCCGCAACGAGCGCAACCCUUGUCAUUAGUUGCUACGAAAGGGCACUCUAAUGAGACUGCCGGUGACAAACCGGAGGAAGGUGGGGAUGACGUCAAGUCCUCAUGGCCCUUAUGGGUAGGGCUUCACACGUCAUACAAUGGUCGGGACAGAGGGUUGCCAACCCGCGAGGGGGAGCUUAAUCUCACAAACCCGAUCGUAGUCCGGAUUGCAGUCUGCAACUCGACUGCAUGAAGUCGGAAUCGCUAGUAAUCGCGGAUCAGAAUGUCGCGGUGAAUACGUUCCCGGGUCUUGUACACACCGCCCGUCACACCAUGGGAGUGGGUUUCACCAGAAGUAGUUAGCCUAACCGCGAGGGGGGCGAUUACCACGGUGGGAUUCAUGACUGGGGGUG